rnacentral:rRNA from 1 species
CGAUGGUAGCUUGCUACCAGGCGUCGAGCGGCGGACGGGUGAGUAAUACUUAGGAAUCUACCUAGUAGUGGGGGAUAGCACGGGGAAACUCGUAUUAAUACCGCAUACGACCUACGGGAGAAAGGGGGCAGUUUACUGCUCUCGCUAUUAGAUGAGCCUAAGUCGGAUUAGCUAGAUGGUGGGGUAAAGGCCUACCAUGGCGACGAUCUGUAGCUGGUCUGAGAGGAUGAUCAGCCACACCGGGACUGAGACACGGCCCGGACUCCUACGGGAGGCAGCAGUGGGGAAUAUUGGACAAUGGGGGAAACCCUGAUCCAGCCAUGCCGCGUGUGUGAAGAAGGCCUUUUGGUUGUAAAGCACUUUAAGCAGUGAAGAAGACUCUUCGGUUAAUACCCGGAGACGAUGACAUUAGCUGCAGAAUAAGCACCGGCUAACUCUGUGCCAGCAGCCGCGGUAAUACAGAGGGUGCAAGCGUUAAUCGGAAUUACUGGGCGUAAAGCGAGCGUAGGUGGCUUGAUAAGUCAGAUGUGAAAUCCCCGGGCUUAACCUGGGAACUGCAUCUGAAACUGUUAGGCUAGAGUAGGUGAGAGGGAAGUAGAAUUUCAGGUGUAGCGGUGAAAUGCGUAGAGAUCUGAAGGAAUACCGAUGGCGAAGGCAGCUUCCUGGCAUCAUACUGACACUGAGGCUCGAAAGCGUGGGUAGCAAACAGGAUUAGAUACCCUGGUAGUCCACGCCGUAAACGAUGUCUACUA